rnacentral:rRNA from 1 species
CCUACGGGAGGCAGCAGUGGGGAAUUUUGGACAAUGGGCGCAAGCCUGAUCCAGCCAUGCCGCGUGCGGGAAGAAGGCCUUCGGGUUGUAAACCGCUUUUGUCAGGGAAGAAAUCCUUUGGGUUAAUACCUCGGAGGGAUGACGGUACCUGAAGAAUAAGCACCGGCUAACUACGUGCCAGCAGCCGCGGUAAUACGUAGGGUGCGAGCGUUAAUCGGAAUUACUGGGCGUAAAGCGUGCGCAGGCGGUUAUGCAAGACAGAUGUGAAAUCCCCGGGCUCAACCUGGGAACUGCAUUUGUGACUGCAUAGCUAGAGUACGGUAGAGGGGGAUGGAAUUCCGCGUGUAGCAGUGAAAUGCGUAGAUAUGCGGAGGAACACCGAUGGCGAAGGCAAUCCCCUGGACCUGUACUGACGCUCAUGCACGAAAGCGUGGGGAGCAAACAGGAUUAGAUACCCUGGUAGUCCACGCCCUAAACGAUGUCAACUGGUUGUUGGACGGCUUGCUGUUCAGUAACGAAGCUAACGCGUGAAGUUGACCGCCUGGGGAGUACGGCCGCAAGGUUGAAACGUCAAAGGAAUUGACGGCUGAGACGNGCGAGGACGACGACGAGGGAGGAGG